CUAGGUAAGCGUAAGAACGGGGAAUCCAUAAUGGGAACGUACCUUUUGGUUCGGAACAACACAGGGAAACUUGUGCUAAUACCGGAUAAGCCCUUACGGGGAAAGAUUUAUCGCCGAAAGAUCGGCCCGCGUCUGAUUAGCUAGUUGGAGGGGUAACGGCCCACCAAGGCGACGAUCAGUAGCUGGUCUGAGAGGAUGAUCAGCCACAUUGGGACUGAGACACGGCCCAAACUCCUACGGGAGGCAGCAGUGGGGAAUAUUGGACAAUGGGCGCAAGCCUGAUCCAGCCAUGCCGCGUGAGUGAUGAAGGCCCUAGGGUUGUAAAGCUCUUUUGUGCGGGAAGAUAAUGACGGUACCGCAAGAAUAAGCCCCGGCUAACUUCGUGCCAGCAGCCGCGGUAAUACGAAGGGGGCUAGCGUUGCUCGGAAUCACUGGGCGUAAAGGGUGCGUAGGCGGGUCUUUAAGUCAGGGGUGAAAUCCUGGAGCUCAACUCCAGAACUGCCUUUGAUACUGAGGAUCUUGAGUUCGGGAGAGGUGAGUGGAACUGCGAGUGUAGAGGUGAAAUUCGUAGAUAUUCGCAAGAACACCAGUGGCGAAGGCGGCUCACU
rnacentral:rRNA from 1 species